rnacentral:rRNA from 1 species
GUCCUACGGGACGCAGCAGUGGGGGAUAUUGCACAAUGGGGGGAACCCUGAUGCAGCGACGCCGCGUGGGCGAUGGAGUGCUUCGGCAUGUAAAGCCCUAUCAGCAGGGAAGAAAAUGACGGUACCUGACUAAUAAGCCACGGCUAACUACGUGCCAGCAGCCGCGGUAAUACGUAGGUGGCAAGCGUUGUCCGGAUUUACUGGGUGUAAAGGGCGUGUAGCCGGGCUGACAAGUCAGAUGUGAAAUCCGGGGGCUCAACCCCCGAACUGCAUUUGAAACUGUUGGUCUUGAGUAUCGGAGAGAG